rnacentral:rRNA from 1 species
AGUUAAUGUCAAGAUUGGCGGUUAUUAACCUCCAACUUUUCGUCACAAUUGAAAGUACUUUACAACCCUCAGGCCUUCUUCAUACACGCGGUAUUGCUGGAUCAGGCUUGCGCCCAUUGUCCAAUAUUCCCCA